UACGUAGGGGGCAAGCGUUGUUCGGAAUUACUGGGCGUAAAGCGCGCGUAGGCGGUCUGAAAAGUCAGAUGUGAAAGCCCCGGGCUCAACUUGGGAACUGCAUUUGAUACUGUCAGACUAGAGUACAGAAGAGGUGACUGGAAUUCCCAGUGUAGCGGUGAAAUGCGUAGAUAUCAGGAGGAACACCGGUGGCGAAGGCGGCCCUCUGGACGGAUACUGACGCUGAGGCGCGAAAGCGUGGGGAUCAAACAGG
rnacentral:rRNA from 1 species